rnacentral:rRNA from 1 species
AGCAGCCGCGGUAAUUCCAGCUCCAAUAGCGUAUAUUAAAGUUGUUGCAGUUAAAAAGCUCGUAGUUGAAUUUCGGGGUUAGUAGGUUGGUCAUGCCUCUGGUAUGUACUGAUCUCACUGAUUCCUCCCUCUUGACGAACUGUAAUGUCAUUAAUUUGGUGUUGCAGGAAAUCAGGACUGUUACUUUGAAAAAAUUAGAGUGUUUAAAGCAGGCUAAGGCUUGAAUACAUUAGCAUGGAAUAAUGAAAUAGGACGUUUGAUCCUAUUUUGUUGGCUUCUAGGAUUGACGUAAUGAUUAAUAGGGAUAGUUGGGGGCAUUAGUAUUCAAUUGUCAGAGGUGAAAUUCUUGGAUUUAUUGAAGACUAACUACUGCGAAAGCAUUUGUCAAGGAUGUUUUCAUUAAUCAAGAACGAAAGUUAGGGGAUCGAAGACGAUCAGAUACCGUCGUAGUCUUAACCAUAAACUAUGCCGACUAGGGAUCGGAUGAUGUUAAUUUUUAAUUGACUCAUUC